rnacentral:rRNA from 1 species
GAUGAACGCUGGCGGCGUGCCUAAUACAUGCAAGUCGAGCGAACAGACGAGGAGCUUGCUCCUCUGACGUUAGCGGCGGACGGGUGAGUAACACGUGGAUAACCUACCUAUAAGACUGGGAUAACUUCGGGAAACCGGAGCUAAUACCGGAUAAUAUAUUGAACCGCAUGGUUCAAUAGUGAAAGACGGUUUUGCUGUCACUUAUAGAUGGAUCCGCGCCGCAGUAGCUAUUUGGUAAGGUAACGGCUUACCAAGGCAACGAUGCGUAGCCGACCUGAGAGGUUGAUCGGCCACAUCGGAUGUGAGACACGGUCCAGACUUCUAUGGGAGGCAGCAGUAGGGAAUCUUCCGUAAUGGGCGAAUGCAUGACGGAGCAACACCGCGUGAGUGAUGAAGGUCUUCGGAUCGUAAAACUCGGUUAGUAGGGAAUAACAAAUGUGUAAGUAACUAUGCACUUCUUGACGGUACCUAAUCAGAAAGCCACGGCUAACUACGUG